rnacentral:lncRNA from 12 species
UUUUUCUGUUUUGUAUUUCCGUGUGAGACUGAAAAAAGCGUUUUUUCCAAAAACAGCUCUAGAAACAAAGGCAGAAAUAGAGGGAAAGGGGAAAAGAGCAGCAAUAUCACAGGCCAUUCAAGACAAGUAACGGUGACUCCACAUCAUCUCAUUCUAACUUGCCAAAGCCAUCAAUCUCUGAUCACACCUAUUAGAAUCUCACUGUAGCCAGCACUACAUUUUGCGACAGCUUGACCAGUUGUUUAAGGAAAGAGUGUGUGAUGGAGCAAAGCUAAAUCGACACAUCUGUGAUACUUCUGACACCCCUCAGCAUGGCUAAUAUUAAUUUGUUUUCUUUGGCUAGACAACAGAACCGUAAUAAAAGAAAGAAAAAAAAACCCCACAACUAUAGGACUUCUGGAGAGGACUAAGGACCAUUAAAACUGCAUAUGUAUUUUAUAUUUUUGUCUGAUGACAUCAUGAGGAUUCAAAAACUUGCCAGCAGUGUAGCAGAACCAAAACGGCAAAGCUCUGCGAGCGGAAACAGGGAGGGAAGAAAGGACCAAGGCCUGUCUGCUCCAGGGGAGAGCCCAGGCAGGGGCUGUGCGCCCACCCAGGGCUCCGUGCCACCCCACACACCGGGGACCCGCGGGAGCACCAGCCUGGGGCUUCAUUGCUCAGGAACAGCUGGAACAAGCUAUCUAAUAAGACAAACGGGCGAGGUUAAAGACCUUCAGAGCCUGGAGAAACCGUGGAGCGGAAUCAAGUGCUGCUUCCCACUUCACAAAGAAGCGUUCUUCAGUCUGCCUCUUUCCUGCCUUUACGAAUGAAAGACACUUCUAAAAAAUUCUUCAGCAAUUUGAGGUUAUGCCAAAAUAUUCUGAAGAGUGAAACUGACAUAAACUCUUAUGUUUAGCACAUAAUCACCCUGCGCACACGCAAACACACAAAUACAUGUACACGUGAAUAACACACACACACUCACAUUCAUCCAUACACAAACACAACUGGCCAGACUCACAGGGUCACUCCACAGACCAUUCCCACACUACAACAUGAGAAUUAGAAAAAUACAAAAUAUGUACGCCGACCAUCACAGCACUGAAGCACUCACACGAUGUGACACCUACGUCCACUUUCUAAAUGCUACAGCCAUUCUACACAACCUUUAUUUCUCCUCAUCCGCGUAUUCUAUCACUUCUGUUGUAAGAUGAAAAUCUAUGCACGGGAACAGAUGAAUUUGUUUCACACUUAAACACUGUUGCAUGUUUUUAAAUGGAGAAACUGAGAAAGCAGUUACACUUUCAAAUGAAUGUGAAACACAGUGAGCCACAAAACGCAAAUGUACAUAGCGCGCAGAAGCUUUCUGGAGUUACAAACCUCCUCAAUUUUCUAUGUUUGACAUUCAGAGACCAUGUUUAAAUUUUCCAAACUACUGCUGUUCUCUCUCCUCCCUACCCCCCCUGCUUUUUUGGAGUGUUUCAAUUGCCUUUCCUUCUUCCAACAGCUGUGACAACUGUUAAAACAGUCGGUAAAAUUAAGUCCGCUCUAUAAUCCUUUAG